rnacentral:sRNA from 1 species
CUUUUUUUCAGAUACGCAGCGGAUCAUAGCGGAUCAUAAUCAAUAGAAAAGUGAAGAGAAGAAUUUUAAUUUGGAAUUUGAAAAGGUUAAAGGGUAACGUCUUCCAGAAUGAGCGCGCAUUGGACUGAAUUAGUGACAAUUAUCUGUGGUGUCCUAUCUGUGUGCAAUGCCAGGAAAUUAUCUCCGUUAGAAAUAGCCAUCAGAAGCAAUCUGCCAGAAGGUCAGUCCUUCAAGUUUUUUCUUGAAAUCUGUGAGGCAUGUGGGGAGAUGUAUGGAUCCGCCACGGCACAUUUCUGUCUUAUCGAACGUGAACAGUCCACAUACUACAAAUGUCUGAUGGCCAUGGGAUUUAAACGAUAAUAGGAUUAUAGGAUUAUCAAAACUAAACCGCCAGACUUGUUUCAGCUUCGAAAUAUUAUAAGAAAGGAAAUUUUAAAAAUCCUUGUAUAGACUAAACUUGAAUAUAUUCUCGACAAAUUACUAUUCUUAACUGAGUGCAGUAAUCGUCGCAACAAUAUGUUACUUCUUUCUUUUACAAUGAAAAAAGUGCAGUAAAACUAAUAAAAAUGGUAAAUAUG